rnacentral:rRNA from 1 species
CCUACGGGAGGCAGCAGUGGGGAAUAUUGCACAAUGGGGGAAACCCUGAUGCAGCGACGCCGCGUGGGUGAAGAAGCGCCUCGGCGCGUAAAGCUCUGUCAGCAGGGAAGAAAAUGACGGUACCUGAAUAAGAAGCUCCGGCUAACUACGUGCCAGCAGCCGCGGGAAUACGUAGGGGGCAAGCGUUAUCCGGAUUUACUGGGUGUAAAGGGGGCGUAGGCGGUUAUGCAAGCCAGGGGUGAAAGCCCGGGGCCCAACCCCGGGACUGCUCUUGGAACUGCGUGGCUAGAGUGCAGGAGGGGAAGGCGGAAUUCCAGGGGUAGCGGUGAAAUGCGUAGAUAUCAGGAGGAACACCAGUGGCGAAGGCGACCUGCUGGACUGCAACUGACGUUGAGGCGCGAAAGCGUGGGGAGCAAACAGGAUUAGAUACCCGAGUAGUC